GCUCACGAAAGCUUAUGCUCUAAUAAAUUUGUUAGUCUCUAAGGUGCCACGGGUACUCCUUUUCAAAGUGCACUAGCCCUCAUGAGCAGUUGAUGAUAGAUGUUGAUAGUUAAUUGAGCUGAUUGACUCACAAUGGAAAGCUGAGACAGGUAUACUGUAUCAUCAUAGUAAAUAUUUCAUUAGAACUUCUAGCAAAUACUCACAUUGCUUUGCAAACAUAAGUAAAUUGUCUCAAAUCCUCUGAGAUAGACAAGUAUUAUCCCUAUGUUAUUGCUGGGAAAACUGAGAGAGUUUGUGGCUUGGGCAAAGUCAUUGGCAGAGCAGUGAAUAGAACACAACUCUCCUGACUUUGUCACAUGCUUUAACCCUUUGGCCCUGUUUCUUUUCUCCUACUUUGGAUUCAAUGCUCUGAACAGAAGUCAUUUCAUGGGGUGGUUGUGAAUCCUGCUUAGUGACAAAAUUUCUCCUUUUUUCUUUUAAAUAACUGAAAGUCUAGUAAAGGGCUCACAGAUAGUCAUGCCCAUACGGCUGGAGCAGGUCUACAGAGAAUUCCUUAAUUUUCCUAGUUCAUCCGGAACCACGAUUGCACUUGCCCAAGAUAUGGAUAAUUAAAAUUACUGCUGUAACCUCUCAAGCAUACAAGGUGAAUUUGCUGGUUCAAGAUUCCCCAAAGGAAGGAAAAAUAAGUGUCCUUUUUCUUUUUUGGCUACUUGUACUGUAGGCCAUUAGUUUCCAAAUGCCCUAGUAAAACAUACAUAUCUAGAGGUUUGUAUGUCCUCAUCUUUCUGUUCUUGGUCAGUGAAACUUAAGUUAGAAGUUUCCAGGGUUUCCAAUGCAUCUCCCAUAAAUGUUUUCUGAUAGGGUGAAAUCUUCAUAGUCAAGGCUAUUGACACUUCCAUUUCCGGGGUAAUUUACAGAAAUUCUCCUUGGUAUGAAAACAUGGAGACAACCAUUUCAGUGGCAAAUCCCUAGUAGACACCCUCUGAGUUCUAAUGGAGGCUUAUCUCUUUUGGGGUUGGAAACCUAAGUGGUUCACUAGAAGAUUGCUUCAAAAUGCUAUGGGAUUAGGCCCUGUCUACACUAACAGGGUUUUGCUGUCAUAGUUAUUCUGUCAAAAUAAUCUAGCGUGGAUACAAUUAUAGUCAUAUAUAAAAGAGCUUAUAUCAGUGUAGGCACGGUUAUACUUUUGUAACUGUUUGUGUAAAAAAAAAAAAAAAAAAAAAAAAAAAAAAAAAAAAAAAAAAAAAAAAAUUGCAUCCCCAACUGACUUAGCUGUGUUGGUAAAACUUUUACAGAUAGAGCACAUCCAAGUUUAUGAUGUACCACAUAUGGAAAGUGAUGAUAGUAUUCUAUACUAUAAUGGUAGCCUGGGAGGAGAAGGGGCUGAAAACAAAACUGAACUUAGAUCAAGACACUGAGAUGCAAGCGAGGUACUGUCCCACAAGGAAUAUUGUACGUCCUCUUCUAAACCAUGGAUGGCACAGUGAGAUACUUUGUCUAUUAGUCUGGCAAAGUCAGUGAGCCCUAACCAUCAGUAAAUAUAUUAUCCUGGAGGUUCCUGAAAAGAUGUCAAACAAAGGGUUUUCUCUUGCAAGGGGACUAGUUCACAACUUACUCUUCAAAGUUCACAAAUUCUAUUUACUACCUAGAUGCCUACAUACUUGUAUUCGGUUCUGCUUUUGGGUCUGUCCCCACCCCCGCACCUUCCCACAAAUGGCCAUGAAAAUAACACCUAGAUCUCAGUGAUACCAUCGCUCUUUACACAUGGCACUGUUCAGGAAUUACAAUGUGGGUUUACUGUAUGAUGUAUUCUAAUAUCUUAUAUAUUGUGAGGUAACUCAGAUAUCAAUUUAAUUUACCACUGAAAGUGGUGUGUGUGUGUGUGUGUGUGUGUGUGUGUGUGUGGAGGUGGGAAUGCCAUAUUGAUGAUUAGAAGAUUGAACCAGAUAAAUUACCCAUCUUUAUAUGGGCUUAGGAUGCAGAUUUUGACCUGGUUGUGCCAUAAUUACUUGCAGUGAGUAGUACCUGCAGGAAAUCCCACUGAAAUCUUACUGCAUAGCAUGACCAAAGAUGGCAGAAUUGGGCUCUCUCUUCAAAAGUUAAUUGGUGCACAUCAGAUCUGGAGUUUUAGUUUGGCUAAUUACAGAAAUAGUAAUAAAUCACAAACUUUAGGUCCUGAUCUGAGUCUUUUGAAAAUAUGAAGGUAUUGAGGUAAUGGAUUUUGGUUUAGGCACAUGUGUAAUAGUAUAUAUUCUAAUACAUAAAUUAUAUGCUUAAUUCCAAAAAGUAAAAAAAAAUGCAACAUGUAGAGCAAUUGCAUAUAGGAUUAUAAAAUUCUCCUUUUGAUAUGCAGGUGUCACUCCAAUUAACAUUAGAGUUCAUUGUCUUAAAAUAGGCUUAAUAACUAUGUUGUACUACAUUUGUAGACAUUUAUCCAAAUUUGUUGAAAUAUUUAACUUUGUUUAUAAUCUUGCAUAUAUGUUUGUAUCUAGAAGAAAAGCUGCUUCAUAUGAGUGCUUUGUAGUCAGUUAUUUUCAGGAAAAAGAGAGAACAAAUGUUUAGUGGAAAUAAAAGAUAAACAAGCUGCUCUAUUGUAUAUUAUAGUGCCCCUCUAAAAUGUUUUCAGUAUACCCUUCUCUGCAGUAUGGAAGAAUAUACCAUGCAGUCCUGCAGUUCUCUCUGUUAGUAAUUAUUUGAAAAAGCAUCACUUUACUGGCCACAUUUCUCCAUUCAUUUGAACAACGUUACUAUUUUGUUUACCUUUCUUAGACAAUAAUUGUAGUAGGCACUAUUUCCACACUUGGUUUAUUGUGUUAAACUUUUAAAACAACACAAAAUUCCAGCAAGUGAGAGUAGUUUACUUUAUUUUCUGAAAAAACAAGUCAUACCUGGGAAUGAAGAUGUGUGGUUCAUAAUAUUGAAGAGGAGAAUAAAUACAAAAGUAUAACCUCUUCAAAGCUGAGUUCCAAAUCAAUUGAUGAUGAACCAUUAUAUUAUGAAGUUAUUGUUUUGAAAUAUAAGUAAAAUUAACCUUUGCUUCUGAAGGAAUUUCAGAAUUGCUACUUUUGGAGUUCUUGAGAGAGAUACAGACCUCUUUCUGUAAGCCCUCUGUAUAUUACUAGCAUGCAGCUUAGUUUAUUCAAUAAGGACUGUAAUUUCUGAAAGAUUUAACUUGAUAUGUUUUCAGGUAACAUGAUUGAUGUGUAAUUUUAGUAUGAAAGGAGUAUUUAGAAUCUUGGCUAACUUGUAUCAGUUCACAAGUUUUUAUUUCUUAAACAAAGGUAGGCUGGAUGUUCUUAAUCUUGUAAAGCAUUUUAGUUCCUACUUUAUCCCACCAAUCCAGAAAAAUUAUUUUGUCAGUUUACAUUUAACUUGUGAAUGCUUGUUGAUCAAUAGAUUGGAAGAAAAAUAAUAAUAAUGGGGAGGGAAUUAGUCUGUCUUAAUUUUUUUCAUAACUUCUCAGAGGUGUAUCAUAUUAUUAAUGCAUUAGAAAUGUUUUGCUCUGAGGAUAUGUAGCAUUCCUAUAAAGGUUAAAUCAAUAAAAAUGAUUUGGCCACAUUCCUAAGCAUGGCUAGAACAGGUAGCCCGUUGUUUAAGGUACCCUUGAAUUUCUGGAUCAGAUCAUUACGGUACAGCAAAAAGGGGUUACUCUAAAGGCUUCUUACUGUAUGCAGACUUCUGUGUUUCUUCUAGAAGAUAUCAUCAGCCUAAAAAAAGUCAGGUUUUCUGAGCUACUGAAUAAUAAGAGUAUUUUCAAAGUCUUUAUGUAUAUAUGUCUCAAAUAUUGUACUGUGUGCUCUAAGUUUUAAAGGACUCUUUUUCAACAAGAAGGGAGAAGAUACUUCAGUAAUUGAUAAAAACCAGGUAUGUAAGGACAAAAUGAAGCACAAAAUGCUAGAGGAAUCUUUUAAAUCCAUUUUGAGACAAAUGAGAAUCCUAAGGUGUCCAACAAUUAUAAAUUAAUUUGAAUUCUUCUAAUUUUAUGUAUAUCUGAUAAAAUGCUGCAGCCAUUAUAUGCUGUUUUUUCAGUACAUCUGAAUAGUUCAGUAGGCAAUCUUGCAUUUUGACAGCACUGUAUUUUGAUAGAUUUAUCAUAUUUUAAAAGCCUUCACAUCGAAGAACUACUCAAUUUCACUAUUGCAAAGUAGAGCUAUGUCUUAUUCUGUGUAUCUGUUAUGCUGCUACCCCAUUGACACUUCUAAUAUAGAUGUGAUGAAUAUCAAAUGAUUUCAAGAUCAUAUGAAUGGGAUUAGUGCUCAGAUUUUAUGUAUAUUUUAAAUUUUGUUGCUCUCGUAUUUUAAGAAUGUUAUGUGCAAACUCAUUUCUUUUUUAAGAAUGUGAGAUGAGCUUCUGUUAAAUUUUUAGAAGCAUCUUAAAAAUAACUAUGGGGAAAAUCAUUCUCAGGGCAGGGUAAAAAGCGCACACUACUAGUAACUGGAUUUUUAUCUUUAAGAUGUUUUUCAAUAGUGAAAAUUUGGUCAGUGAAUUAUCCCAUAUCUGGCUAUGCAUAUUUUUUUAUCAGAAUUGAAACAUUCCAUUUCAUGUGUAUGUAUAUGAAAGUUAGUCACAUCAAGUAAAUUCUAUACAUGUGCAUUGCACAUGUGCCUUAAAAUUACUUAGUAAAUUAAUAUUAUCCCUCGGAGUGCAUAGCAAAAUAAGGCUAUUUUACUUUCAGUCCUGUAUAUUGUUCCUAUAUGAUAUCUUUAUAGAGAUAUAAUGUAUUAUGUAGGACUAAACAUACAGAAAAGAUUUCUCUGUUUAUCUAGACAAGUUGUUUAAUUCUGAAUUUUUUAAGAUUCGCACAAGAUUUUUGUGUUUUAAAAAGUGUGUGUGUGUGUGUGUGUGUGUAAAGAGAGAGAUGGAAAAUUUUAGUUCAUAACAGGGAAGGCCUGAUUGAGUUAAUCAGCAUAUAGAAUAAUAUCUAUGGACUUAACAUCUUCUUCUUAAUAUAGUGUAAAAUUAAAAAAUCAUUCCGGAUCUUGCAUAUGCAUUAUGCGGCCACAUUGUUGCAUUGAAAUUCUAUUUAUUCUUGCUACCAUCUGAAAUUGUCUGUUAAGUGAGUAAAAUACACAGGCUCGUGUUUGGUGCUAAAUUAAAAUCUUUGAUACUAACUAGACUGUGUGAAUUAUUAUAUUGUCUGUAUGUGACUGGAUUUUCUUUGAAUGCUGUUGGUUUCCUGUAAUAAAAUUUCAGUAAAAAUAUCAUCUUGUGUCUUUGAAUUUUUUAAUGUUUCUGUAGAUUUUCAAUUUAUGCCUCUUAAGCAGAUGGAGUACUGAAUAACAACAAAAAAUACAGUACGUAGUCUUGAAUGUAGAAAGUUGGAUGAGAUGGUGGUGGAAAGGAAGUGAAGUGAAUGCCCUUUAUGCAUAAAAUCCUUUUGGGAAAAGAGAACAUUUUUACUAGUGUAUACUAAGGUACACUGCCUAUGUAAAUAGUCACUGUUUUCUGGUCCUGUCAAUUUUAAAUAGGCCAUUCAUUGUUAUAGCUUAGUUUACUUCACGUUUUAAAAGAACAGUUGCGUUAAACUUUGAUAUUCUGGAUCAGAAAACUAAGAAGAUAAAUUCAGUUGUAAAUUUAUAUUGGUAGCCAUUACCUAUGGGAAGCAAGAUGCACAGAUUAUAUUAGAACCACACAUACAGUGCAAACUCAUUAAAGUGUUCCCAUUACAAAACUGCUUCUAUACUUGGGUAUUGUACUUCAGUUAAUAACUAUAGCCCUCAGUAAUUCUCAUUAAUAAAGCCUUCCCAUGCUACAUUAUACAAAUCUUUUGAUAGCCUAAAGUGACUGGGACUCGUUUGUUUUCUAUUUAAGAAUUAAGUAAAAUGUGGUAUUUACAGAAGGUAAUUACCAUUAAAAUAUAGAUAUGCAAUCAACAUGAUGUAGCAUGUUUCACUGUUCUCAGAAUAAACAAUUUUAGUGGGUCGUGUCUCAGAAAAGGCUCUUAACUUUGAGCAGGUUUACAUCUAAACUUCUGUUCAGCUACAGCUAUUUUCUUCUCCGCCAAAGCUGACUCUUGGUUUUUCUCCAAUAAGGCUGAUACUGACAUUAAUAAAAAUACUGAUAUAGGGAAAUCACGUUUUAAUGGCUGAAGAGAGCAUUUUGUUUCAUCAUAGAAUUCUUAACUAGAGUGUGAUGAAUUUGUUUCAUCACUUGUAGAAAUAGUAUAUUGCACUUUGUCAUAAACAGGAGCUAUACAGGAAAGACAACUUUGGUUUAAAAAAAUGUGGUCUGUCUUUAUUUUUAACUCUUAAUUGGCCAAGGUGAACUCAACCAUGAUAUCCAGAAAUGCAAUUUCUGUUGAGUAUGUAUUAGAAAAGGUAUCAUAAUAGAUCUGUUUCCUUACAUACACAUUUUCCUAGAGGUAUUGCCAGUUUUUUUUUAAAUGAAGUAUUUGAAGCAUCACUUACUAUGGUACUACCACUGUUAUUUAUAUUGUGCUAUCAGUAGACAUUGCAAAUACAAAGACAAGAUCCCCGCCCAAAAAAGUAUAUUGCAAUAUGUCCUAAUAUCUUAAAAGAAUAAGCUGUGCAUUGCAAAGAUUUGUAAACAAUGUUAUGAAAUUCAGACUGUUAAUAAACUAGAAUGUGAUAGUACAUACCACCCCUAUAUAAUUAUAGUGGUAGGUUACUAGAUGCUAACUUAAAUUAUUAGAUAUUUUCUUAGAAAAAUACAGGUAUUUAGAAGUAGAUAUGGGAAAGUAUAGAAUUAAAAUAAGCAAUCAGAUUAUUUAAAUUUGUCUGUGUGGUACUAGAUGGUAAUCUUUCUGUUUAAAAAUGUAAAUGCAUCAACUGUAUAUAUGUGUGCACAUGUGUGCAUGCAUGUUUGCAUAUACACAGUGAUACGUUAACAUUUUUCAGAAGAAAUAUUACCCUUCCUAGUACCACACAGACAAAUAAAAAUACUGUUUCUUUUAACUCUGUUUUCUGAUCCUUAUUUAAAUGAUAUACAGAUACUUUGAAAAAAAUAUAGCAAUCAGAAGUAAAUGGAUACAUUUGUGUACAGAAAUAUAAAUACAGAUAUAUCUGUAUAUUUUCUCAUAAAAUGCCUCUUUAUCUUUUGUUAAAUUGUUGUGUGGUGGUGAUGUUAAUUAAGUUCAUUUGGCAAAAUAUUAAUUCACCUGCUAUAAUAACAGGUGGUAAUACAUGUAAAAUAUAACAUUUUAUACAAUAACUCCAGUUUCAGAAAGAACAGCGCUUGUGGGUGUGCGCAUGAGUAUAUAUGCUCAUACACAUUGUUAAUGUUACCAUUGAUUUUCGUUGUGAUCUGGGUUAGGUUUUUUGUUCUGAACAAUAAAAUAUUAUGAAACUGGCAGCCUCUGUCUUUCUCUUUUACUAAACCACAAAGUGGAUUUAGAUGCAAGAUAUCUGACCAAAAGGGAUAAGUUAAACAAUGGUUUGGCACACUUACGGUUCGGAUAAAUUCAGGGGGGAUAAAUACAUAUAAGAUCUGAGUUUAGACUUUUUUCUGUAAGAAAAUGAAUAUUAAAUUAUUUAAUUAUUUAUUCUCAGAAACUAGCAAUUCCAAUGAAAUACAGUAUGUGAAUAAAAAAUCACUGUCUAUCAGAGAAAUACUGUAACAAACCCUGUUGGAUUGACUUCCUGCCAAAAGUUCUUUGCCACAGGGUUUUUAGCUAUAGCAUGUUAAAAGUUAAAACUUAUUGUUAAUUCCGGGACUGCCUGACUUUAAUGAAUGUAACAUUUCUUGAAAACCAGACAGCAGAGGAAAUAAUGGUUUUAACCUUCACUGUUGUAAUAAAGAUUGUUUUAUUAAAAGAGAUGAGAAAAUACUCCUGAAAUAAACUGUUGAGAAUAGAGUAAAUGUUAUGUGAAAAUGUCUGAAUUUCUAAAGUACUUUUUUAUUUAAAGAAAAGAGAACAACUUACUUAGACUUGCUGUUUCACAAUAAUAAAAUAAAACAAAUAUUUUUGGUAAAUUAGAAUAUUUUAAAGAAAUAUUGAAUAAGUCACUCAGCAAUUUAAUUGAACCAAUUUAAAAUGAUUUUAGCAGUCAGUGAAUCAAUAUUUCUCCCCUUCCCCCGCCCUCUGGAAACAAGUUUAUACAUUAAAUAGGAAACUUAUAGCUACAUGAGGAAGGCUAGAUCAGUACACUGCAUGCUAACAAGCAGAAUAAAAAAAAAUACAGGAAACAGAUGUAUGAAUAAUGAACUUUUUUAUUGGAAGUGUUGAACUGUUUUAUGAUACAGUAACUCAAGUUUAAAGGGAUAUUUUGUCCCUGUGCUCAUCUUUAAAAUAUUCUCUUUAGGGUGUGUUUUUCAACAUAUUAAGUGGUAAGUCUUAUAUUUAUUUGUAGAGGAGAGCAUGUUUAUGAAAGGAAACGUGCUCUUAGAUUUAAACUUUAUUAACUUAAAAACAAAUACCUGAGAGCAAAAGACGCACGCCUCCCCCCACAAACUCUGUUCCCCAUAAGCCUGCAGAGAGGAGUUUGAGAGAGAGAGAGAGAGACUAUUAUUGUAAAUAAUAUAAGCCAAAUGCAAUUUGUUUGUUGAUAACGGUAGUUUCUUGUUGAGGUACUGUGGUGGACUGGGUGGAUGUCUGGUGCACUUUGUGGAUGUCUGCUGUCCAUGGACAAAAACUUGUGGUCAGCUCUUAAGCCUGGCAAAAUUUACAAGGAAAACCCCUUUGAAGAUAGUGUAAGGUUUCUUAAUUUAUUUUUUGAGAUUGAAAUACAUUUAUCAACAUAAAAUUAAUCUGCUUGGUGUUUGUUCCUCUUGAGUAAUCUAAAUCUUUUUUUUUCUAUAUUACAAUUGAAUACUUUUACACUGCAGUUAAACCAUGGCAAAUUUGAUUCUUUCAGUAUUUCAGGUUUAAACCUAAAAUGCUUCACGAUUUUGUUAAGUUUGCUGUUUAUCUUGAGGCCCCCCCAUAAUUAAAAUAUUUUGUACUCCAGGAAUACCGUUUAUGUAAAUGUGGCAGUUUAUUGUAACCCUUAUUAACUGACAACUCCAUCACCUAAAAUACACAGUACUGAAUUUUAUUAGGUACAUAGAGUAUAACAUACAUAUGGCUUGAUUUUCAGAGGUGCUGAGCACCCACAGCUGCUGUUGACUUUCAUGGUGGCUGAGGCUGAGAACUGUGGGUGCUCUGCACCUCUGUAAUCAAACCAGUAUGGCCUACUUCUGCCCUGCCUUGUAUUCUUUAACUUCCACUGAAGUCUAUUGGACAUGGGUGUGUUACAUAAUGUAUGACAGGUAAUUAAACACAUUUAUAAUGUAGCUUUUACAUGAAAGUAGGAACCAGCUGCAGUGUAUAGUUUCAGCCCUCUUUGCAAGAAUAUUUUGCAUAUUAAUUUCUUUUCCAUGUAUACCUGAAAGCAUAAAUGAUGUUUGUCUCCAUUACUGGUUUAGACUGUUUUGAACAUAUACUAGCCAUAAAAAGUACUAAACUGGAUGUUGUUCUAAAAGCAAAUCAGGUAGGAAAAAUAAAUAAAAAAUGAAUGGUAUUUUUAUACUAUUAAAUACAUUUUAAGGUUAAUAUUAAGUCAGACCACCACCAAGAAGUCUCACAGUUUGGGAGGACUUGCAGUAUUAUUGUUAUACUAUUAAUGUGGGGGUGGUAAAGUCUUUAAAUAUUUCUGGUAGAGUAGUUAAUACAGCAUGGAAGUUUGAUAUUUGUACAGUUUGUAAAAGAAUUUGAGGUGUUACCCUAUUUUGACUUGAGUUUUCAAGUAUGCACUGGUGCAUCAUUAAUCAUAGGAAAUGCAAAAAUAAAUAAUAUAGUCCCUUUGGAUUUUUCAUGUGAAUACUUACCUUUUCCUUUUUUUGUAUAUACAGUUGAGGUAUUUAGGUAACCCCUAACCUUCUGCUUCAACAAGGAGGUACAGUAUAAAAAUAUUACCACAGUCUUCAUAUGAGCAGUUCUCCCUAAGAAAACCUCUAGAUGAAUAUUUAUUGAAAAAAGCAAAGUUGCAAUACAGAAUGACUUAGCUCGGCCUCAGUACUAUAUUUUAGACCACCAGUGUAUAAAAUUAAAAGCACAUGGAUUUUUGAAUCACUAGAAAAGGUUUGUAAUUGAUUAGCGCUCUAUGAAAGUAUUGAAGUAGAGUAAGGUUUGAUUUGUGAAUGGUUCUAUUCAAUAAAGAUUAAUCCUGUAUGCUUGAUAAAAUCUUAGUGCCUUUAAUGAGUUAGGUUGUUUUUUUCUUCCCUAGUUUAUUUAACCAUCAGAUCAUUCAGUGUUCUGUUAACAAACUGGAACAUUUCUAUCUUAGUGAAUUUUACAUCAGCAAUGCUGAUUGAACAAUCCAGACGAUCAGUGGUUAGUUCAAAGGAGGUAAUUAAACGAAUAAAUAUAUUUUGUUCCUUACAAACCAUUUAAAAAUACAGUGUAGUCAUGUAUAUUUCAUAUGCUUACAAGCUGUAGUGGGGGGAAUCCAUUCUUCUUUAUGUGAAUGAGAAUAGUCAUCUAUUUGUUGUGUUUCAUAUUAUACUUUAUAUUAUGAGCACUUUGCUUUAUAUUUUAAUACAAACAAAAGUAAUGAUUAAAAUUGGUUGAGUUCAUAUUUUUAUGAUUAUGAAAUCUAGAAGUAGAAUUUAUAGAUGCUUUCUUCUUUUAGUCCACAGAAAUGUAUAGCUUUCUGAUUUCUGAAUUUCUAUAUUUUGGAUCCUCUUCUAAAUUGUCUACUUUAAUAUAAAUGCAAAAAUAAAUUUGUUACAAAGUGGUUAGAGCAGCUCAUAAUCAGUUCUUGAAUGUUUUUUUUUAAAUAUACAUGUUGUUUAGUAUCAUGAUACAAGUGGUACAACUUCUUCUUAUAGGCUUGAUAAGUUUCAUUUUCACUUAUUACAUCCAUCUACCAUGGUCAAUUACAAAAAGUUAGAUUAGAGUAUUGGCCAAAUUUUUGUCUGAUUUACACUCUGGGCAACUUCACUGAAGCCAAAGAGGAUGCACAGAACAUACAUCAGUGCAGAAUAUGGUUCCUGUUGUUUAUAACUGAUAUGGUAUGUAUUUGAGAAGUACUACAUGAUCUGGAAGAUCCUGUGUAAAUCACAUCUACCGGACGUUUUUCAACAAUGUGAUUUUUAUUUGUUGUGUAGAAUUUAUUCUGAGCAAUUUAUUGUUGCUUUAGUUUAAACAUAGGUACAAAAAUAUAACUGUCUUGGCAAACUCAAAAUUAAUAGGUUUAAUGUAAAAGAUUCAGAAUGUAAGUAUACACAGGCAGAACAGUCCAAACUUGGAUUUAGCGCUAAGUGUUCCUGUGCUGUACAAAAGUAGUAUGAACCCAGAACACAGUUUCUGGAUAAUUCAGAAUGUAUUAGAUUAAGUAGGAACAUAUGCCUUUUGAAGUUACAGAAGAUCCCCUGCAUCAGGUGAAAUAAAAAUUUGCAGAGAUACGGCUAAACUUUAUUGAUAAACAGAUUAGAGGUGUGAUGCACUCUACUUUCUUGGCACUAUCACAAGUCAUCAUUAGUUUCACAGGUCCAGUUCUUAAGAAAAACCUCAUCAAAUUUAACAGGCCCAAUAGGAAUAAAUUGGAGAACAGAAUGGGAGGAGACUAAAUGCAGGACCUGACUAUAAUGAAGAUGAUAGUUGGAUUAUGCAUUCUGAUAUAUAGCCUCACCAUUUUGUUAAUUUGGAAACAAUGGAUGAGUAACUUGGAUUUUAUAGCUUCUAUUCUUAUUUUCAAAGAUUAAAUAUAAAGUUAGAGACAGUCUACUUUUACUUUAGAAAUUCAUUGUAGUUUGUCUCAAAGGACACAUUUACUUGUCCAACCUUACAUACCUGUGCAGAAUUUGUUAGCAUGUUGCAACACUAUUCAGUAGCUUAAAGAACGUCCAAAAGUAGAUGAAUUAAGCAGUCACCACUGCAUGUUUAUGAUGAUUUUAGCCAACAAAUUUUCUCCUAAUCUCUUUUGGAAGUAAAAGCAAAAGAAAGUCCCUAUACAUGUAAACUGUAUUUCCUGUUGUAAACACUGGGAUAAUGUGGUCUGGCUUCACUUUGGCUGUUCUUCAUUAAGACAGCAGUUUUAAUAGAAAUGCUGUCUAUUUUUUGUGUCCAUGUUUUACUUCAGUAUUACGUGUAGUAUACCUCAGCGUGACCACUUUCAGACAGCUAGUACUGAGAAGUAGCACUAAUUAGUAGUAUCAAUGCUUUGUAUAUCAUAAAUGAAACAGUCUGUCCUUAAGUAUGAACUUUCUUCAUGUCUGAUUGUGCUCACAGACUGUGCCAGUUAAAAUGUGUGAAGUAGGAGGGGUAAAGGGAACUCCAACCAUCAGCUAGUUACAAUAUAAACUUAAUCUAGGUGUAUGUGCUGAAAGCAUUUCUAGCAUCUUUUUUGUUCUUUAAAGUGUUGGAGUGGUGGAGGAGGGGAGGUAAAGGUUUAGCUACAGCCCCAACAUAGGUUCAGCAUGAUGGACAGCAUUAAGAAAAUCUUGUAAGUUUUCAUAUGCUUUUCUUGUGGUGUUCUUUCAGAUAAUUCAGAUAGUUUUAUUGACCUGUCUCAAUAAAUGUUUCAGUGAAAAAAUCUUGCAUGUAUAUCUGACCACUGAUCAAAUAUUAACAUUGUUCGGCAUUUUACUGUCAUUCUUUCAGCUAAAGCUCAGUUGUAUUCUGAAUUUUAUAUAAAUCAGAAAAAGUUAUUCAGUCUCAUUCAGUUUUAUUUAAUGGUCAUUAAUAGAGGGUUAAAAUGUAUUCAUUUAUAUUGAUUUUAAAAACUGAUCAGGGAGGAAGGUUUAAAAUUAAAAUGAUGUUAGCAGUAUUGCUUUACAGUGUAUGUGUGUACUCUCCAUAUGGACAUGUAUGUAAAUAUACACAUGUAUAAUUCAUUAUAUGAUUUCAUGAAGACAUUUUAAGACCUAUUUACAGUUCCGAAUAUCCAAGCUGAUAUUUGGCAACAUACUAUUAUACAGAGCUGUUAUAAAAAUGCUACUACAAGUCAAAUUGAAUGUCAUCCACAUUUUGCUUUAUUUUCGCAGAUGAAUAGUUUUUAUGGAAAAAGGAUCUCGGCUAAUUCAUGACUCAAAUGUAGUUAGAAAAACUGUUUUUAAAGAGCUGAUGCAUUGUAAUGCAUGCUUUGCUGUGAAAGUGUGGAAACAAAUGAACAGAUUUUGGGAUUGGCUGUGGAUUAGCACUGAAUACUUGAGUGCAUAUAUACUAAAUUAAUUUUCUUAAUUUAUAAAAUAUCUAAGACAAUGGUAGGGCAAUUAUGUAGGAGAGGUUGCUAAGUCUUACAUUUUAUUAUUUUUCUUCAGAUACAGAGAACUAGCAGUAUUAGUUCAGUAAUUCAUUUGUCUAUUGCAAAGAUGCUGGAGCUCUAUAAAAUGUCACAUUUUCUUCCCAGGUUCUUCACCUGGUGGUCUUCUGUGAUAUUGUUGAUUGUAUUAAUUUAAUACUUUAAUUUUAAUAAGCUUUUUACUUUUUUCAGAGCAGUAUCUUACUUUGCUAAAUGUAUGUAACUGGAAACUUUGACUCACAUAGGUGACAGCACACCUGCUGUCAAACAGUGGAGUAUAGUAUAGCAACUUCACUUUGCCUAGCUUGUCAGUUAACAAAUUAAUUCUUAAAUCUGCAUACGUUAUUUAUGGGAACCUCUUUUUUCAUGACUAUACCCAAGUAUUGAAUUUUAAACACAAAAAAUACUAUUUAACAGAUUUUUGUUUUGAUGACAAUCAAUGAUCCUUCAUAGAAUUAAACAAACAUUGUAAUACUUACCCCAAAAGAAGUUUUGCUGACAUGGUGUCACUGAGCUGAACAGACUGUUUGAUGCCAUAGUCCUUCUCUGUUUUCACACACAACUUGUAUCUUCUGGUGAAAAUACUGCUUGAAGCCUUAAACUGAAAAUACAAACCAUACCCAAACCUGGUUUUAGUAUUAGUGUGCCUGGAGUGCAUAAACUCCGUAUUUGUUUUUUUCUGUCCAAAAAUUGUGUAGCACUGAUAAUGUGAAAAGCAAGGAACAAAACAAAAAAGAGAAUGAGCAAAUAUUUGAAGGACCUACUAUUACUGCAUAGACUGUGGUUAGAGAGCACUUACUGACUUUGUUGGUCUCAGUGGCUGGUAGUGACCUGCGGAGAUUAACCAUUUAAAAACCAGAGGCUUCUUGCUAUCCUCCUGGAGAAAGUUUGCACCGCACUUGUGGUUCUGUGGUUGUUUGUGAGGCGAAUGAAGCAUUCACAUAAUCCAAAAAAGCAAAAGCUUUAAAACUCCUUUUUUUUUUUUUGCAAGCACUGUUACUGGAGAGACAGAAUCAUGUGGUUUGUGACAUCACAGUCCUCAAAGUAAAGUGGGACUGCCUACCACUGUGGCUUUUCUUUCUCUCCUCUCUCUCUCUCUCUCUCUUUUUUUUUUUUUUAUUUUAUUUUGACAAAAGGCCUGUGGCAAGGCCCUUCCUGGCAUCCAGAAGGAUAUAGCUUUUUAAUUUUUGUGACUCAUGAGGAUUUGGAGAGAAUACAAAAUGCUGAAAGAGCCCAAACUCCUGUACAGUUAAAGCAUAUGGACAGCAGAACUUUAUUUGUACUCUCAGUGCAGGCUUCCCCCCCCCCCCUUUUUUCACCCCCUUUCGUUCUUUCUCUUGUUCAUUAUUGUGUCUGUGGAAAAGUAAGCAAUAUUGGUGCAAGUGGCUGUGUGAAAUUCUGAACAAUAGUGAUGAUUUACAAUAAUUUACAUCUUUGGAUUGUAUCACAAUCUUGGGUCUGCUUCAUAUUUGCUGGGUGGCUGGAUUCCUUCUGUUUUUCUUUUUCUUCUUGUCUUCCUAUACUUGUGAAUCUGUAACUCAUUGUAAGAAACUUUACCUUUCCUAAGGUCUGGUAGCAGACUGCUUGUUGGGCUGUGUUUUGUACUGUAAUUGGCUGUCAUAGAAGCGUUAGUCUGGGGAUUCCUUUACAAAUCUUAAAUCAUGUCUGUCUUGCUUAUGUACCUUCAAGAUUAGCUGGCAGCUUUAUAUAAUGAAAAUUAAGUGCAAUUAUAUAUCAGUGUUGGCGUUUUUGCUGAAUCUGUAAUUUGUAUAUUGUAACUACUUUGAGUACUGUAUUAUAAAUUAUGCUUUUUGAAUAAAAAUACUUCAACAAUUUAAUAUAGAAGUUACCGAACAGCAUGAAUUGUGCUGGUUGUGGAAUUUUGAUUGCUAACAUCAAUUGCUUAUUGUAAUGCUAGUGUUUCAGAGAAACAGUAUUUUCUUAUACUUUUUGAGGGAUACUGUUAAUAGUUUUAUUCAGCAGUUAAUGUUAGUGCUUACUUUGAAAAUGAAACGUCACUUUGAUGCAUAUGUAAGGCUUAAACACUUAACAUAUGCAUAUGUAUAAUCUAUUUUUAUAUACUUAACAGACUAUAACUUUAACUUUGUUUAAUAUAAGGGUUUACUGUAUCAGGACACGGUGUUAACAAAAGCAGUAUUUUUUGUUUAUAAUAGACUUUGAAAUAAAUUGCAAAAUGCUGUGUGUAGUAGGGAAUAAUGUGUUCAGUAGUCUUGAUUUGGUCAUUCAGAUUCAGAACAAAAUUGGAAACAUCUUUAAGAAACUGUCUUAUUUUUGCCCCCUCUGGACAUGUAUUUGUGUAGAACUCAUUUUCUUGUUAGCAUGAUUGUAUAGUAUAAGUACUGUAUUUUAUAAUUCCUUUUUUUUUUUUUUUUGGUUGGGAGAGGCAGAAGAAUGGCAGAAAAGAAAUACAGACGUAAAAUUUUCUAAGCAUUUUUCAUCCAUUUAUUUGUAAAACUCCUCAUUAGUAUGUCUCUGGCAGUUGGCUUCCCUCACUCCUUUUUCCCUUUAUCUCCUCCUCUGCUUCUGCAAUAAGCAAUUGACUAGAAGAGGUGUGAAACUAAUCUGUUGAUGGGUGGGGCAGAUCAGGUUCUCCCUAUUUUGUGUAGGUUGAUGGAGUGGGGAGAGAGCAGAUAGGAAAGGAGGAUUUCAGUAAAACUUUUUUCUUUGGCAGAUACUUAUCAGAGAAACAUAAAACCAAUCCUGUUUCUGAACAUCUCAGCAUAAUGUGUACUGGAAUGUAAACUAUAUUGUCUUCAAUUCAACACUUUCCCUGUUUUAUAGAGGUUGCCAAAUUUCUAGGACCGUUCCUUAAAAUAAGAACCUAUUAGGCAGUGAAUAACCUGAUAUA